GACGAACCUUGCAACCGUUAUUCGGAAUCACUGGGCUUAAAGGGUGCGUAGGCUGUGCAGAAAGUUGGGUGUGAAAUACCUCGGCUUAACCGAGGAAUUGCGCCCAAAACUACUGUGCUCGAGGAAGAUAGAGGUGAGCGGAACUUAGGGUGGAGCGGUGAAAUGCGUUGAUAUCCUAAGGAACACCGGUGGCGAAAGCGGCUCACUGGAUCUUAUCUGACGCUGAGGCACGAAAGCCAGGGUAGCAAACGGG
rnacentral:rRNA from 1 species